rnacentral:rRNA from 1 species
CGUAAAGAACUUGCCUCACAGAUAGGGACAACAUUGGAACGAAUGCUAAUACCUGAUAUUAUGAUUUUAGGGCAUCCUAGGAUUAUGAAAGCUAUAUGCGCUGUGAGAGAGCUUUGCGUCCCAUUAGCUAGUUGGAGAGGUAACGGCUCACCAAGGCGAUGAUGGGUAGCCGGCCUGAGAGGGUGAUCGGCCACAAGGGGACUGAGACACUGCCCUU